rnacentral:rRNA from 1 species
UAGGGAAUCUUCCGCAAUGGGCGAAAGCCUGACGGAGCAACGCCGCGUGAGUGAUGAAGGUCUUCGGAUCGUAAAACUCUGUUAUUAGGGAAGAACAAAUGUGUAAGUAACUAUGCACGUCUUGACGGUACCUAAUCAGAAAGCCACGGCUAACUACGUGCCAGCAGCCGCGGUAAUACGUAGGUGGCAAGCGUUAUCCGGAAUUAUUGGGCGUAAAGCGCGCGUAGGCGGUUUUUUAAGUCUGAUGUGAAAGCCCACGGCUCAACCGUGGAGGGUCAUUGGAAACUGGAAAACUUGAGUGCAGAAGAGGAAAGUGGAAUUCCAUGUGUAGCGGUGAAAUGCGCAGAGAUAUGGAGGAACACCAGUGGCGAAGGCGACUUUCUGGUCUGAACUGACGCUGAUGUGCGAAAGCGUGGGGAUCAAACAGG